rnacentral:rRNA from 1 species
AACGAACGCUGGCGGCAUGCCUAACACAUGCAAGUCGAACGAGACCUUCGGGUCUAGUGGCGCACGGGUGCGUAACGCGUGGGAACCUGCCCUUAGGUUCGGAAUAACUCCCCGAAAGGGGUGCUAAUACCGGAUAAUGUCUUCGGACCAAAGAUUUAUCGCCUUUGGAUGGGCCCGCGUUGGAUUAGCUAGUUGGUAGGGUAAAAGCCUACCAAGGCGACGAUCCAUAGCUGGUCUGAGAGGAUGAUCAGCCACACUGGGACUGAGACACGGCCCAGACUCCUACGGGAGGCAGCAGUGGGGAAUAUUGGACAAUGGGCGAAAGCCUGAUCCAGCAAUGCCGCGUGAGUGAUGAAGGCCUUAGGGUUGUAAAGCUCUUUUACCCGGGAUGAUAAUGACAGUACCGGAAGAAUAAGCUCCGGCUAACUCCGU